AGAAACUUAGGUUAAUGUCAAACCAAGAGCCUUCAAAGCCCUAAAUAGAGGACACCCCCUCUAGUCUCUG
rnacentral:tRNA from 1 species